AAUUGCUCCUUAACCCACUGCACCACUGGAGAACUCCUAGAAUAGGCUAUAUUGUUUUUCCAUUUAUUCAUUCUUUAAUAUUUUCUAAUGUUCACUUGCUUAUUAAGCACCAACUGCAUGCCACAUAUUGGCAAUGGCACUGGGGAUAUAACCCUAAAGAAUACACACUCCCUCUGUCAGUGAGCUUAUGAGCUAAACUUGUAAAGAGGGGACACAGAUAUAAAUAAGACAAAAUUUAGGGUAUUGUCAGAUAAUAAAUGUUAAGGAGAAAUACAAAGCAAGGGAAAUAAUAAGUAUGAUGGGGAAAUAAAAGUUUAUUCUGUUAGCUAGGAACAGUCUCACUGAGAUGGUGACAUUUGGGUUAAGAUCUCACUAAAACAGGCAAAGGAACUAGCCAUAAGGAUGUCGAGGGGGAAUGAAUUCCAAGAAAGUGAACUAUGAAUGCAAAGACCUUGAAGCACAGAAUGCCUCAAGGGUUCCUGGAACUGUAAGAGUCCAUAUUAGUUCCAGUGGACUGACUGAGGAGAAGAAUGGGAGAAAAUGAGGUCGGAGAAUUAAAAUAAGGUCAGACAGCAUAUGAUUUUGAAGCCAUUCCCUAUGAAACAACUUGAUUCUGAAAAUUUUAGAGGAAUGGCUUGGAAAUGCUAUGGUGACUGGAUGGUUUAAAGCCACACCUGCAGGUUAUCAAAAUUCUUGUGCCAGGGGUCAAAAUGGAGCUGCAGCUGCAGGCCUACACCACAGCCACAGCCACACCAGUCCAAGCCACAUCUGCGAACUACGUCACAGCUCGCAAAAUGCUGGAUCCUUAACCUACUGAACAAGGCCAGGAAUUGAACCCGCAUCCUCACAGACACUGUGUCAGGCUCUUAACCUGCUGUGCCACAACUCCUGUCUCAUUUACUUUUGAUUCUUAUUUUGAUCUAAAAGGAAUGAAACUGCUUAGUGAUAUUAAGGUUUAUUUGAUUGUUGAAAUGGAAUAUCAACAUCUAUAUGCAAUUACUUAAAAUUCAGCCUCAAAGGUGAAGUUUUUCUAUCUCAGCAAUAUAGAGCUUACUAAAUACAUUACUAUUUUAUCGUUUUAUUCUUAUUAUGAAUCUGCUCAAUAUGAGAACUAUAAAAAUGAUGAGUUCUGGUCUUAAAUAGCAUCCUCUUUUCCAACAAUGUGUUAAACCUGUAUAUUAAUCCCAAAGAAGGCAUGGAAAAGCAAAGUUGUUACCUAAUACACUAGAAUUAUCUAAAUGAAUCACUGAAGCAGGUAAAAUGGAUUGGAGAGGACACAGGUGAAACUAGUUUCAUGAAGUAGUUAACUGAAAACAACUAGGGAGAGCAUUCAGAAAAAGUUUAAUUUUGUGUGUAUGGAUUCUUCUAUUGUCCAUAAAUGUCCUAGAUGUUAUCUUAACUCAUUGUUUUUUCCCUCUUUUAUACUAGUCAGAUUUCUAAUCUCUACUAUCACAUUGGUGAAAUUAAUCUAAAUAUACUAAGUAGUCAAAGCAGUUUUCAAGAGGCAUAGUCUAGUUUAUUUCUGAUAUAUUAAGAAAUACAUUACUAUUUUAUAAUAUUUUACUAUAUUAAAAACAAUACAAUCAAUUACACAGACAAAUUACUUAGAGAGCAUACUACUGAAACCCCUAGGUGGAAUGUCAGACAAGUAAAUAUACAAUUUAGAAAAAUAAACUUAAGAGAAUGAAAGGCAAAUAUGAUUUUGUGCCUGGGAGUCUACAAACAAAAAUUACCAGGUUAGUAUUAUGUUAUUACUGUGUUUCAUCUUUUUUUUUAGUUCUUAAUAAAAAAUAUAUAUAUUACCCUCAUUAGAGUAGUAUCUGAGCCUAAUGUAGAUAAACCCUUACAUUAAAAAUAUUGCAUGGAUACUAAUAUCUCUGCUCCUAUCAAUUGUAGAAUCCAUAGGAAUUAAUAGCACCACAGUAUGAUUUAAAAGUCUCUGUUUUUAGAUAAAACAUAUAUAACUGUACAUUGCAAUCUUAUCUUUGUAAUUCAUAAAUCAAUUCCACAGAUGGCAUUUAUGAAUCUUCCUGAAAAAGCAGAUGUUUGACCUGGAGUCAUUUCCAUCACACAUAUGGUCCACAUCUAGGUUAGUUUCUCUGGCCACUGUUGGUUUUUCCAGUUAAUGUUCUAUAACGCCUUACUUGAAAUUAACUCAUGCACUACUGAUUGUUAGAAAGUACAAAAUGUUUUUUCCUUAUUGUCAGCACAUAGCUCACUGCUCAAAAUAAGAUUCUAGAUUAUCAGAAGCAAGCAAUAUAUGGGAAAAAAGAUAAGGACCAUGCUGAGAUUCAGAAGCUUAUAAUUUCUAUUCCUGACCUCAGAGCAGAUUUUUUGACGCUUGUGGAAAAGAUAUACCUUUUUGAGAUGGUUUCUUCAUCUUUAAAAUAUAUAUAAUAAUUUCCCUCCAUAUUCCCUAGGGAUACUAGACAGAUCUAAUUAAACACAUUUAGGGAAUACAUUGACAACUAUACCACAUAUAGAAUAUUGGUAUUAUUAACUUCAUGGGAUUGAUCCCACCAAAUUUUAUCGAUAUGUUUUCGUUCAUCAAGUUAGCUAUUUUACUGGGCUCAUUUUGGUUUACACAGAAAGGGAAAACAUAGAAUUGGGGUUUAAAAAUAAGCAAAGUGAUUUGACCUUGGUCUCUUCCUAAUCUAUAUACUUCCCACUAACUUUAAUUUCUUUUCAUUUAAUUUCACCCUCUUCUUUAAAAAGAGGUAAAGGAGAAGAAAGACAAAAAUAUUUAGAUUAAUAAUAGAAAGUCUUGUAAAAGAAGAUCAGGCACUGUGGAAUAAUUCUACAGUAAUCACUCUAGUAACAGGAAGCAAGCAGAAAAUUGUGAUGCCAUCGAGGAGAAGCCAUCAAGGCUGUCCACGCCAGGACAUUUGCCUUAUCUUUUCAACAGACCAGAGCAGGCCAUAUGCACAAAGAAUUGGUGGCACUAAUUAACUCACAAGAGACUAAGAUAUUUACCAGGAAGCAACUUCAUUAAUUACAAAGAAAUAAAACUUUAUUAGUAUCAGGCAUCAAUUCGUACCCACAUCUUCUCUAGCAACUCUUACAGAAUGCUAGUUUAAUAAUAGUGACAACAGAAUACAAACUUAAUGCAAAUUACCCCAAAUUUUCUGUUAUAACUACUAGAUAUUGAAAGCUCCUGGUAAAAAUUAUCUUUCACCUUGUCUAUGUUCUUAGGUCAUUUUCUAAAGCCACCCGUCUGACACAAUUCUGUGUUACCAUGGUAUCUUUGGCCUCUUUUUUCUUGUGAUAUAUUUUUUAUAUUGGUUGUUAAUAUAAUAAGUUAUAAUUUGUCAUUUUAUGAUUUUUUAGAUAAAAAAGGUAUUUUUAUCUUCUUUAAAAACUUCUGGAUUCUUUUGAUUUGGCCAUUAUAUAUUUAAUUUUUUCACUCUCCAAAUUCCACAUCCAUAUCUCCAUAUGACUGGUAAUUAUAGGGCUAUGUUUAGGAUAAUAGUAGAAGUUACAAAAAUAAACUUGAUAUAUGAUCCCAUAGUGCUUUGUCCCAAUCCCCAUAAUCAAAGAAUGUCAUGAAAAUGAUUUGAAAUUUACUUUUUAAAUAUAACACUUUAUUUUGCUCUUUUGAAAAGAAACAGUCCAACCACAUGGCUGGUUCCAUAUUCAUUCAUAUAUGAGUUCUCCUGUGGGCCUCCCAUGUAUUCUGUUGGUAUGUACACUAAACUCUGUCUCCUGAUCUCCCAAAGAUAGCAAAAAGGUGUGAAAAAUUCAAUUAUUUUUUUACUGAUUAUUUAGUGCUUCAUGAUGUGCAAAUGUUAUUCUGGAAGAAUUCCAGUCAAGCAGCUUUAUAGAGGGUAAUGAAAUUAUAUGAUACUUGCUCUAGUGAAGUUGUAGAAAUAACUUAAUGACACUUGGAAAAAAUAAAGAUUAGCCUUUAUUGUUGUAUUAUUCAUUUGGUUUUUAUAAUAUAUGCUAGAAUGGAGAAGUUUCAAAAUAUUUCAAUAGUAUUAGAAUUUUAAAACAUCUUUAUGUACUUAUUUCAAAAUUAUUAAAUAUUUAAUGUCUAUAUAUAAUGUCAUUCUUUCAUUCAUUUAUCAAAUAUAUGUCAAUUUAAACAUUAAGCCAUGUAUAUGAAUAAUCAUGUAUUACUGUCCUGAAACAUUUUCUUCCUAUUCCAUAUAUUGAGGACCUAUUCAUGUAAAAAAUAAAUAGAUUCUCCACCACUUAAAUAUCCAAGCACAUAAACAGCAAAUUUAAGAACUUAAUCAUUCCUACUCUCUUCUUAUAUUACUAAUGGGUCUAUCUCCUCCUUUUAAUGUUGUGUAAUAUCUUAUGAAUGAUAAAUAAAGAGCAAUAGUAGAGAACUUAGAAUUUGACAAAUAUAUCAGAUUCCUCUUGUUCCAAUGUAUAUGAAGUUAUAUUUGGAUUCAAGAUACCUCUGAAAAACCACUGAAACACAGUAAAGUAUAAUGUAUGCUAGCUGUGAAUCUCUUCUCUAGAUGUUAUCUCAGGGUUUAUUUCUAAUGGAGGUUCUGUUUAAAGAUGUAAUGAAGGAAAAUUUCUUAUUUGCUACUUUCUUAAUGUGCACAAAUACUGUGGAUACUUCUGAUCUAUCAAGUUGCCUUAAAUGAAUUAGUUCAAAAUGAGGGCCCCUCUGCCAGAUAGGAGAGAUUAAUUCUUUUCUCUGAGAGUGUCAAAUAUCCAACUGUUUUUUUAAAAUGAGUGUUGUUAGCUACGUCUACAGGUAUACAGGUCUACAGCUAUGUCUACAGGUAUCCUGGUAACACUUAUUAAUGAUGUUAAUAUCAAGUUAUAAUUGAGAUACAUUUAAUAAAACUUAUCCUAGAAGCAAAAGGAAUACCUGUCUUAACUGGGUUUUCUUCUCUCAAACUUACCUAUCCCAAACCUGAAUGAGAAAUUAGUACAGAAUUAUAUACAGUCAGAUAAGCUGUCUUAUGAAAUGGUAUCAGAGAGAUCCAUGAGCUAUGGGUAGAAUAAAAUUAUGAAAUGAUUAUUGAGCACAGCCACAUAUAGAGUAGUGAGAUGACAGAUUGGGAAGGUUGCAUAAAUCCGAAUAGCAAGUGAGACCAAGGUAUGAACGCACAUGUACAACACAUGACUGGAGAACAGAAGGCCACUGGUUCUAAAGGGCCUAUUAAGUGGUAAAUGAAUUUUCUAUCAGCGACAUGUAUACAUACAUGACUCAAUGGCUUAAAUAUAAAGUAUUAGACUUGAAGAAUGUGAAGACCAUAGAAUAGCUGAAGUGAAAUUGGCAACAAUUAUGGACACAAAAUAAAAAUCAAGUUCAAUUAAGAAGAAAUUUUUAAAAGGUAAGUCUUUUGCACACCUCUGUCAGUGAAAAAUCGUACUCACUGCUUACUCUGUAUUCAUUUAUGAAGAGCUCAGUAUAUUUUAGAUAACAUCCUAGGAACAUGGACAUAUAACCAAAUAGCACGGCAAACAUAACCUGAGUUCAUAGAAUCUUCAAAAGAGUGAGUUAAGAAAAAAAGUAACCAAAGUUUGGCCAAGUAAUGGAAGAAAUAUGAUUAAGUGUAUAAUUCUUACAAAAAUUUUCCUAUUUUUUUUUUUUUAGAUUUUGUAAACUCUAAGUAUGUCUGAUACGUCAUUUGCCUAAUUUGUUGCUGAAUCUUUGCUCUUGAGUUUUCUCUCUCAAUGUUUUCUGCUCCUUCAUCACUUCCAGCCCUAGGUAGAUUACCUGCCACUGCUACAUAUACUGUGGUGCCAUAUAAUUUGUCUGGAUAAUACUCAUCACACUUGUAUUUUCCACAUCUAUAUUACUGGCCUAUUAGUAACUGUGAACAAGAGUCUACAUCUAUAUUCACUAGAUUCCAAACCACAUGAAGAUAAGGAUUGUGACUGCUUGAUUUCCCACCGUGUCCACCACGUCCAGCAAUAGAACCUACUGCUGAGAGGAAAAUCAUCAAGAGAUUGGUAAAUUAAUUAAAUCCUUAAAAGUACGUCUCUGAGAUGUUGAAAUACCAGGUUCUCAGUCCUUUAGCUUCUGAUGUUUUAAUUAAUAGAUGGAUAGAAAUUAAUAACUAGCAGAACUUCUAGUGAAGACUUCCAUUAAAUAGUUUGUCUCAAUUGCCAGAUGUUUUAAAACUGCCUGUAGCAAGUGCUAGAUAGAUAAGGGUAACAUCUGUUGCCUUAAUUAGAGUAAGUUUAACAUCAAUUAGCAUCUCUGAACUUCAGUUUCAUCCCUUGUAAAAUUACAGGAUUGGUUAAAAUGAUCUGCAAUCUUCCUUUCAGUUUUAGAAUUUUUCACCUGUCUUUGUGUUUGCCCAGCUUCCUCUUAUGUGAUUAAAUCUGCUGAUACACUCUCAGAGUCAUUCAAGUAGAGAUGCAGAAACCACGUGUUUAAAAUUAAGGGCAGGUGCCAUUACAAUCAAAGGAUUAUAAGAACGUAGAUAUUUUGAUCCAAUUUCCAGAAAAUGCAAUGCAAAUGCAAUAAUCUGAGAUUAUUAUAUUUUCUAUGCUAUCCUCAUUUAUCGCCUUCAGAUUAAGUUAAUUUUUUUAAUAUGGGCAUGAUUUACAAUAAGCCUAAUUGCACACUUCAAUAUACAAAUCUGUCCUUUUUACUUGCCACCUCUGUUCAUUUUCAUCAAUAUAAAAGUCAUAUUAAAAAAACCCCAGAAACUAGCACAAUAGUUGUAUCUCCUUAACUCUAUUUCAACUUUGUAUUUCUUUGAGUAUGCAUAUAUACAUACCUGCAUGUGGGCAUAUUUAGAAUUUCUAAAAUAAUUUUGCAUCCUUCUCUUUUACUCAACAUAAACAAUAUAAGCAUUUCCUAAACUCAUCACAGUCAUGAUUCAUCACAUAAAUUAGUCUUUGUCAGUAAACUAUAAAUAUUUAACCAUUUUCCUAUAGCUAGAUCACUGUUGUCAACAAUUUUUCUAUCCUCGCUAUAUAGAAACAAAAGGUAUUUGUUUCAUAACUUUUUUCUUAUACUGAAUAAUUAUUUGAGGAUAUUUGUCAGUAGUCAAAAAAAUUAGAUCAUGAAAAUGCAUCUAUCCAAAAGCAUUUCAUUUCAUAAGAUGACAGCACAGGCACUGAGUGCACUUUAGGGAGUUCCCAUUGUGGCUCAUAAGUAACAAACUUGACUAUUAUCCAUGAGGAUACAGGUUCGAUCCCUGGCCCUUCUCAGUGGGUUGAGGAUCUGGCGUUGCUGUAAGC